GUGCAGCAGGCGAGAAACUUUACAAUGUGCGAAAGCACGAUAAGGGAACUCUGAGUGCCUCCUAAGGAGGCUGUUCAGGUGUCUAAAAGCACCUGAAGGAAGGGCUAGGUAAGACCGGUGCCAGCCGCCGCGGUAACACCGGCAGCCCAAGUGGUAGCCACGUUUAUUGGGUCUAAAGCGUCCGUAGCCGGCUGGGUAAGUUCCUUGGGAAAUUUGGCUGCUUAACAGUCAAGCUUUCAGGGAAUACUGCCCGGCUUGGGGACCGGGAGAGGUCAGAGGUACUCCGAGGGGUAGGGGUGAAAUCCAUUAAUCCUUGGGGGACCACCGGUAGCGAAGGCGUCUGACCAGACCGGGUCCGACGGUGAGGGACGAAGGCUAGGGGCGCGAACCGGAUUA
rnacentral:rRNA from 1 species